UUCUUCGUAGCGCAACCGGCUGGGUGCUUUGUUUCCAACAAAGGGAUCUCGGGUUCGAAUCCCAGCCAGCCCA
rnacentral:tRNA from 1 species